AUCUUCUAACCACUAUUUCUAAAGAGUAUCCCCGCCGUCGUCCACCACAACCACCGAUUGGGGAUAGCAGGAUCGUAAUUCGUGGUUUGGGGUAUAUAUGGCUGAUCGUAACUUGGCCGUUGUGAAGCCAAUAUGGAUGAAGCAAGCAGAAGAGGCAAAAAUAAAGAGCGAAGCUGAGAAAGACGCGGCGGCUAAAGCUGCCUUCGAGGCUACCUUCAAGGACGUUGAGAAGAAUCGAGAGCCUGCUCCUUUAUCAGAUAGUGAUGGCGAUGAAGAAGAAGACUUGACUAACAAGCCUAUAGGUCCUGUGGACCCCACCAAGUGCACGGCCGCUGGGACUGGUGUUGCUGGCGGAACUGCUUGUGCACCUUCUUCAUUUGUGGUGGUUACAAAGGAUUCAGAUGGUCGGAAAGUUCCCCAUGGUGGAGCCCAGGUGAAGGUGAAGGUGUCUCCAGGAGUUGGUGUUGGAGGGUCCGAACAAGAAGGGAUUGUCAAAGAUAUGGGUGAUGGGACCUAUACAGUUACCUAUGUGGUUCCUAAAAGAGGAAACUACAUGCUGGAUGUUGAGUGUGAUGGGAAGUCUAUCAUGGGUAGUCCAUUUCCAGUUUUCUUUAGCGCAGGUAUAACUACAGGAGGGCUUCUGGGAUUUGCUCCACAGAUGAAUUUCCCAAAUAUGGUUAACCAGACCAUGCCAAACAUGCCAAAUUACUCAGGUUCUGUUUCAGGGGCAUUUCCAGGACUUCUUGGAAUGAUUCCUGGGAUUGUUCCGAGUUCAUCAGGUGGGGUUGUUUUGCCUGGAAUUGGAGCAUCACUUGGGGAAAUUUGCAGAGAGUAUCUGAGUGGGCGUUGUAUUAAAACUGAUUGCAAGUUGGGUCACCCUCCACACAACCUGCUUAUGACUGCUUUGGCUUCUACAAGCACCAUGGGGACACUUAGUCAAGCACCAAUGGCACCAUCUGCAGCUGCAAUGGCAGCUGCACAGGCUAUUGUUGCUGCUCAAGCGCUUCAAGCACAUGCUUCAAGUGCACAAGCUCACGCUUCUAGAGAAACUACUGUAGCAGAAGAUAAGGCAGCAAAAGCCGAUUCUUUAAAGAAAACACUCCAAGUUAGUAACCUCAGCCCACUACUCACUGCAGAACAACUAAAACAGUUUUUUAGUUUUUGUGGCACAGUUAUUGACUGUAGUAUCACAGAAUCUAAGCAUUUUGCAUACAUAGAAUAUUCAAAACCUGAAGAAGCAACAGCUGCACUUGCAUUAAAUAACAUGGAUGUUUUAGGGCGCCCAAUGAAUGUUGAAAUGGCAAAAUCACUGCCUUCAAAGCCUGCAGUUUCUUCAUCUUCUUUGCCAAUGGUGAUGCAGCAAGCUGUUGCUAUGCAACAAAUGCAGUUUCAACAGGCUCUUUUAAUGCAACAAACUAUGAAUGCACAACAAGCAGCUAAUCGAGCAGCAACUAUGAAGAGUGCAACUGAAUUGGCUGCUGCUAGAGCUGCUGAAAUUAGUAUGAAGUUGAAAGCUGAAGGAAUAAUUGGAAAUGAAGAUGAAUCAGUUAAAAAUCCAAGGUCACCUUCUCCAGUUCCCACAAGGUCAAGGUCAAAGUCAAAGUCUCCUGUGAUAUACCAAAGAAGGCGUAGGUCCCGCUCCUUUUCACCUCCACAUCGCCGCAUAAGAGGUUACAGAUCCAGGUCACCAAUAAGGUCCCGCCACUACUCAACUUAUGAAUAUGACAGGCGGACAUUUAGGGGUGGUAAUGACCGCUACAGGAGACGAGAAUACAACAACAGCCGCCAUUCUUGGAGAAAUAGAAGCAGAAGUUUAAGCCCGCGUGGCAGAAAAUCUUCAGAAUCCCCAAAACGCCCUCGCAAAAGCCCCAAGAAGUCUUCACGUGAUGAGCAAAGUAAGGAAAAACACAGAAGGCAGUCAAGGUCUAGGUCUAAGUCCAAGUCCAGGUCCAGGUCAGCAUCUUUGGAGGUCAAACCUCGGUCAAAUGAGAAGAUUGUUGAUAGGAGGCGGUCCAAGUCCAGGUCAGCAUCUUUAGAGGUCAAACAUCAGUCAAACGAUAAGAUUGAUGAUGUUAAGGAGGAAAAGUCAAAAGGGCGCGAUAGGACACGGUCCAGGUCAGCAUCUUUGGAGGUCAAAGAUCGGUCAAAUGAUAAGAUUGAUGAUGUUAAGGAUGAAAAGUCAAAAGGGCGUGAUGGGAGACGGUCAAGGUCCAGGUCAGCAUCUUUGGAAUUCAAACAUCGGUCAGAUGAGAAGGUGGAAAGGUCAAAAGGGCGUGAUAAGAGGCGGUCAAGGUCAAGGUCCAGGUCAGCAUCUUUGGAAGUCAAACAUCGGUCAAACGAUAAAAUGGAUGAUAGGAAGGAGGAAAGGUCAAAAGGACGUGAUAAAAGGCGGUCAAGGUCCAGGUCAGCAUCUUUGGAAGUCAAAACUCGGUCAAACAAUAAAAUGGAGGAAAGAUCAAAAGGGCGUGAUAGGAAGCGGUCCAGGUCAGCAUCUUUGGAAGUCAAACGUCGGUCAAAUGAUAGUAAGGAAGAAAAGUCAAAAGGGCGUGAUAGAAGGCGGUCAAGGUCCAGGUCAGCAUCUGUGGAGGUCAAACAUGAUAUUAAGGAGGAAAGAUCAAAAGGGCGUGGUAGGAGGCGAUCCAGGUCCAGGUCAGCAUCUUUAGAAGUCAAACAUCGGUCAAACGAUAAGGUUAAUGAGAACAGGGAGGUAAGGUCAAAACACAGGAGGCGGUCAAGGUCCAGGUCAGCAUCCGUGGAGGUCAAACAUCGGUCAAAUGAUAAGAUAGAUGACAGUAAAGAGGAAAGAUCAAAACGCCAUGAAAGGAGGCGUUCCAGGUCAGCAUCUGUAGAAGUCAAACAUCGGUCAAACAAUCGGGAGGAAAAGUCAAAACGUCAUGAUAGGGGAAGGUCAAGAUCUUUAGAGGGUAAACAUCGUUCGAGUGGUAAGUCAAAGCACAGAAAACGGUCAACGUCAAGGGAUAAAUCAAAGUCCAAGUCAAAGUCAAAGUAUCAUGGUAGAAGGCAGUCCAGGUCAGCAUCUCCGGAUGUCAAGCGCCAUCGUUCGGACGAACAAAGAUCAAAACACAGAAGACGGUCAAAGUCAAAGUCAAGGUCAAGGUCAAGGUCAAAGUCAGCAGAAGAUAACCGAUUGAACAAUGUGGAUCAUGAGGGGGGAGGGGGUGAUUGGGCGGGUGAGGGGACACCGGAGCGUUAUAGGGAGUCGGAUGUUUUGAUAAAGGAUGAUGGGAUUGGUGGUGGAAGUGGGGAGGAGUAUAAUUAUAAUGAUGACGUGGCAGCUGAGGAGGAAGUCAGAAUGUUGAGUUGACCAACUAUUUGGGAAGUGUAGAGUUGAAGAAUAAAAUGUGUUGUUUGUUUUGUUUUGCAGGUUUUGAAAAUGUCUGAAUGAAUGAAUGUGAAUCAUCUCUGGAGAGUCUGAAGUGGAAUGUUUUUAGCGACUUAAUCAACUUCUUAAUGAGAUGAAUGAAUGUAUGUCCUUGUCCUAUUACUACCUCAAUCAUUAGGUCAGCUUAUUAAGCCAGACAGCAGCCAGAUGUCGAUGAGUUGACUAUGAAGUACAGAUGAGGGUGGUCAACUGUGUGUUCUUUUAUCAUGGUGAAAUUGGGAUAUGUUAAUUUACAGGUAAGAUUCCUUGAGCAUUCUAGUUAUAUGAGUAUCAUGUAAAUAAAUGAUUAAGUGUUUAAAAAAUUAGGAUUUGUGAUGUUUCUUUAAAAAAAAUAUUUGCGCUUGCAACCA